UUUUCGUUGAGAUUGUUAUACAUUGCUCAUGGCGAGCGCGAGGCCAUUAUCGCUUUCUGUGUCUGCGCUCCGAGUCUACAAGAGCAAAUGAACUAACUCCUCGCAGUAGUUCAGUAAUAAAACUUGGUAAUGGCGUCUUUAGUCUCCGUAAGCUUCUUUACGCCUCCGUUUUCACGAGUCCUUCUCGAGGUAAGCUUCGAAACCCUAGCUUAUGUUCUAUAGUUUACGUACCAACCAUCUUCGCGACAGUACGUUUUGUUUCACGAGAAAAUGUUGAAGGAGAAAAUAUUUGGACCUUGUUGAAUGGUAUUAGUUUGAGUUGUUUUGGUAGUACGAGUGGUUAGCCUACUGAGUACCUGCUUCUUGUCGAGUGGAACCGAGUGGGCAGAAUAACUGUAUUAGUAAUUGAAUUCAGGGGAAUAACUGCGAAAUCUGUUUCGAUUUAAAGUUGCAGAAGAGAAUCUGUAUUAUGUUACAGAGUAUUCUACGUGUUCGUAUAUGGAUAUUUCUCAACUGGUUGUAAAUUUCGUUUUCUUUUUUGGAGGUUCUCCUGUAGAAGUUAUAAAUAAGAAAUAGGAAACAAACAAAUGAUAAUGUUGGUAUUUUAAUGAGAUGGAUCCUCUUUCUAUGGUAUUCAAAAUUAUAAUGGAAGGGUAUCAACUGUGCCUACUGCUAGAGGAUAACAAGAGCUUGGGAUUUGGAGCUGGAGGGAUUUGAUGCUUGCACUUUUUGUGGGUUUUAUCUGGAUUUAAAGGCGACAAACUGUAUUGAUUGCAUUCAUUUGUUGCCUUAGUACUCUCUGUCCCCAUAUCUAUUGAGUGGUGGAAUGAGGACAUCCAUUUUCUCAAGGUGGGAUUAAGAAUUUUCUACCACGUUCCACAUUUAUGGAUUUAACAACUGCAGCCCACAAUACAGAAAAAAUAGUUAGACCACAUUGUUCGGGCAGUAGAUUACUCUUUUGGUAAGGCGACAACUAUCAACAUAAUGUAAUUGAACAAGGCAUGUAACAAAACUGGUUUCCUUUGCCCCAUGAUUUUAGUACAUUGGUAUUUUUUUCUUUAUGUCUUUCUGAUGAGAGGUGGCAACAUAGCUUAGGAUUUGCUCAAACUUUAUGAAUUGAUUUUUGUAUGACAGCAAGAUGUAUACUUCUGGCAACCCAUCCCGAGCUCUUGUUGAGCUACAGUACACUCAUUUGUUAUUGAUGUAGGAUAUAUUAGGGUUGUCUACUUAUUAAUUUGGAGAUAAGAAUGUGGACAUCAAACAUCACACUCAAAAAGUCUUAAGGAUCAUAUUUAAGAGUUUGAUUGUAUUGAAUAAUCAAACUUUGUCUUGAAAAGUGAAAACUAAUGCUAAUAACUUUGACUUAAUAAUGUUUAUAAUAUUUUCUAAGUAGACUUUCCGAAACAGAAUUAGAUCAAGAUAUAAGCUUAAAAGGAGGGGGAUGAUUCUGGUCAACUGGUGUUGCUUAUGCAAAAGUGACGAGGAGACUUGCAAUCAUAUUCUACUUGGGUGUCCCGUGGUAUAUAGUUUAUGAUUAAUGGCUUUUGGAAUUAUUGGUUAUCAAUGCAUGACGGGUGGUAUUGUUAGGGAUGAAUUAUGGGUGUGGAAAGGUUUGGCUGGGAGGGAUAAGCAGCUGGGGCUGAUUCCCUUUGCCAUUUUUUGGGUCAUCUGGAAGAAAAUAAAUAGAAGAGGUUUUGUUGGAGUGGAGGAGAGCAUAGAUAAAAUCAGAGAGAGAUGGUUUCAAAUCCUUGGUAUUUUGAUUAUGGGUCAACCCGUGUUGUUUAUGGAAUUCUUUGCAUAAUUAAUUGAUGUACUUAAUUUUAUGCAUGGGCGAUACUCCCUUAGUGUCCAUACUUAAUGAUAAUGCUACACUUUUUAUUUUUUAAAAAAGAAGAAUUAGAUCAAGAAAUACAAACACUAAUAGGGUUAGAAAAUAAUACUAUUGAUUUAAAUAAGGAAAUUAAAUAUUAAAAGAAUAAAAUAAUAAAGCUACUAAGACUAAUAAGCUCCUCCUAAAUAAUACAAUAGUUUUAUAUCUAAUAGAAUUAUAAUUUCUAAUUUAUUUAGGUGAUUUAGAAUUAACUCAUUCUGCAUCAUUCUUUCCUAGUCAGAAAAAAAACUCAUCAAUCAGUUUUGAAGUAGUGAAUAAUGCAAAACUUAGAUCUUUGAAGUUCCUGAUAAAAAUUUAACAAACUAUGUGCUCGGUCAUUCUCUUUGAUAACAAUAAUGAAGGAGAGAUGGACAAACAAUUUGUUAGGGGUGCUAAAUCCUUGCAGUAGGAUGAACUCAACAAAACAAAAUAUUUUCCCUUCAACUUUAUCCUUGAGCUGAACAUUACUAGUUCUAAUUAUUGGCCUAAGCUUCUCCUUGCAUUGUACUUCUAUAUAACUCUUUAAGUAGUCAAAUGUUUUGAGUAAUCUCAAAAUUUAAUUCUUAGGAAGACAUGACAGUUCUUGCUGCUCAUCAAUUUCGACAUGUUUAUUCUCUUCUUCUUUUUCAUUGACUAGAUGCACUUUUGGACGUUUAUAUUUACUCGUCUCCUUUGCAGUCAUAGGUUCUAUAACUACAUUCUUUAUGCUAAGCAUAAAAUGAUAAGAAUUGGUAGUCUUUUCCUGCUGAAUGAAGAUACUUAUAAUGUUUCUUAAGUAACCAUUCUCACAUGUAAAUACUAAUAAUAACUGAAUUAGGAAAUAAUACUACUGAUACAAAUAAGGAACUAACUCAAGUAAAAAAAUUAAAUCCUAAAGUUUCUAAGAGUAUAAAAAUAAUGAUGUGGCAUAAAGAGAAUUUGAACACAAUACUUAGAAAAAAUUUAUUAAGAGUCAAAAUUGGAGAUUAAUUCACUAGCUCGAUAUUUGCAUAAUAAUCAUAUAAAUGGUCUACCAAAUGACUAAAUUAUGGUACCCUAUAGGCACAAAAAUACGACCAACGUAGGAAAUUUUUAGUCUGUAAGGAUUCCGCUAAAUAGAAAAUAGCUAGUUAAUUAAAUGUCAUGAUAAAAGAAACUAGAAAGGAAAUUAAAUAUUCCUGUUCCUUUUAAUGUAAAACUUCCCAGAAUACAUUUAUCUUUAUUGGUUCUGCAUGAAAUAGACUCCUGAAUAGUCUAAUAGUUUUAUAUGUAAUAGAAUAAUAUUUUCUAAUCUAUUUAAGCAAUCUAGACUUAACUCCUGCAUGACUUGUACUAUGCUGUUUAAUUUUAUGUUGCAAGACCCUUAAUCAUUAUUAAUUGAAAAAAUUAUUAAUUUGAUCACUCUGUAAUAGUUCUGCUUUCAGAUAAUUGCUUAUGUGUCUUUGAAUUUGGAAGCUUCAUGGUUGUUGGGACAUUUUUGUAGGAAAAUGAUCCAAAGAAAGCAGCAUUGAGCAGACUUUCUAGCCAAGCAACUGGUAGAAGAGGUUCUCUUCUUUGAGUUUCUUGUUUUUUCUACGGCAUUUGUUAAACCCUGAAGCAUGACGAUUGAUCAUUAUGUAAAAUAUAGUGUGUGAGCCAUGUCCCAUUAGCCUACAUGGUGCAUGAACUUACUGCUACUAAAUUCUUGGUCUUAUGUUCCUGGUUAACCUAGAUUUUAAAGAAUUCUACAGUGGUCCUUCUGGACUCAGGUCAUGUUUAGUUGGAUAACCAAACUUCUUUUCAAGAUUUUGGGUUCCAAUUAAUCAUCGGGUUGAGAUUUUUUUCUUCUCCCUGAAUUUUCCAGCAGGAUGUAUUGGAGGGGUAGCAAAAUUGAUCNNNNNNNNNNNNNNNNNNNNNNNNNNNNNNNNNNNNNNNNNNNNNNNNNNNNNNNNNNNNNNNNNNNNNNNNNNNNNNNNNNNNNNNNNNNNNNNNNNNNNNNNNNNUCCUAUAAAUCAGAGUUAUAAUCACUAUUUAACUUCACCAUCGAAGCAUUUUGCUGAAACUGUUUCUUUUCAUUUGGAGACUCAUAUGAUAAUGACUGGCUACUGGAUAGGACCAGAUAUUGAUGACGGUUGGGGACUAAUAGAUGCUUUUGUUGAUCGGGGAAUUUGAUUUUUUUUUUCAGCUUGAUGAAUGAUUUUCAAAUUUUGAUUGCAUAGUCUUGUAGAUUAAUGUUGAAUGUAGAACUCGAGUAAGUGAUGGAUAAUUUAGCACAAGGCAUAAAAGAAUUUCCAAAUUGUACCAUUUUUUUCAUUUUGAGACAUUGUACGGUAAGAAAGUUUGUAGCCUUUUUCAACAUGAAUGAAGAACCAUUGCAAACACAUCGAAUGCCAAAUUGUUUAUAAAUUUGUUGGACAUUCUUUCAUGUCUUAGUCCCCUAUCCCUUCCUAAGCUUAUAUUGUUUAUUUCAUUGGUGCAUCUUCACUCUCCCCAAUGUAAUAUGAUAGAUUUCUGAAGGUCUCAUUCCUGAGGCAUAUAACUAAAAAACGGGAAGAUAACUUCUAUGCUCUCUGAUUCAAUCUUGGAAGGCUGUUAGUAAUCAAGACUGGGACUAGGGUGUGCAUUCACGAAACAAUUAGAUUGAGCUCUCCAAAACUCGAUUUAAUGUCUCAACUUAAACAACGAAACUUGAUGAAAUUUGUGGUUUAUGGCUCAAUUUUUAUAAGUGGAGACUGAUAAGUAGUUUUAUUUUCAUUUGACCAGACAGUUUUUUUAAUCUUUUCUCGUUGAUAUUUAGUUUAGUCAAACCUAAUAGUUAUAUUGAACUUUAAAUCUAGGGCAUAUUUGGUAUGAUGGGUUGAGCAAAAGGUGAGUAAAUUUUUUUUUACUCAAUUCAAUGUAUAGAAGAUAAUUUUUCUACAGACAGGGUAAGAUUUUAUUCACCCCAGAGUUAAUAAUAUUUUUUACUCUAUGAAAGGUGAACAAACAUGGUCAUCUAGAUGGUACUCUAAAAGUCUAAAUUGCUUAUUUUAAUUUGUUUUUUCAUUCACUUCUAUCCUUUGAUAAGAAUACAACUAGUAUCAUAUCUAUCAAAAUCAUCCCUGCCACUAACACUGCCACUACCACCAUUAUUGUUAUUGCCACCAUGUUGCCAUUGCCAUUAUCACUCUCAUAUAACCACCAUUGCACUUGUCACCCAACCACCGCCGCAUUGCUGCCACUGCUGCCACACUACAGCAGCCAUGAUUAUAUAUCCAUGUUUUUGUACUUUGAUCUACUUCAUAUGACCAUGUUUAAGUUCCUGAUUCUAUGUGGUUAUAAGAAGAACUCACAGCAAGAACUAUCUCAUAAACCUGAUUUGUUGAACAUAUCAACCUUAAUUAUGAAGAAAAGGAGAGUAACUGGGCCUGUUGACAAUGGACAUAAUCUCAUCUUGACAGCAUCCAAACACCUCUUUACUGAUGGAUAGAAGGGCAACCAAGGGUUCUAUGCAUUUUCCAUUUUUUUCUAGUCAAUUAAUGCCACGUUCUGAAGCUCUGCCUGACUCCAUGUUUAAUCCACUUUUUCAUUUGCUCCAUCCUUUCUAAUUGAGAGGUCCAAAAUGGUCGAGGACCUCUUACAAGAUGUAACCGUGCUUACAUCAGAUGUGAAAGCUAUGCACCAAUAUCUUUUGGUGUUGAGGCUAAUAUGUUGUCUAUUUGAUCUUUGAAUCAUCUUGGUGAUGUGGCAUUAUGAGUAUAUAUUUUUUUUAAGAUUUGUAUCCAACAGCAGUCAGCUAUUUGAAUAUAUGUUUUACAUUGGGUGCUUUCGAUCUUGCCCUUCUAUGGGCUUCUAAUAGGGUGUCCCUCGUUGUUCUACAUUUACACUUUGAUGGGGGUAUAAGUGGUUCCUUAAAUUUAGUAAAAUAACUCUUACGUUUUAAGAAAAAGAAUGAUAACCAAUGUGUGGUGUACGUGGGUGGUACAUGUCAGAAAUACAAUUCAUGCUUUUUAUUCAGAAAAAAAAAAAACCAACAUUCCAGGGUGCUUCUGAGAGGAGCACUCUUUUUGGUUCGUGGUUGCUGUGAUUGUAGUGUAAUGCUGGACUUUUUAGGGACUCUUACUCACCUCCAUCUUGUCUGCUUCUUUGUUGUUUUUGGAUAAAUUCAUCUCUUAUGCUUCUUUAUGGGCCAUACUCAGGAUUUUUUCAGGGAUAUCUCUUUGGCUAUUUUGCAGCGAGAUUGAAAAGAAAUAUUGUAUUGAUUUUUAUAUAUUUAUUUCAUUCAUUUUCUCUUGUAUCAAAUAUACUUUUUUUUCUUUGGAAGGAAGAGGAGUCACUGUAGGUAUGUGGAAACUGAAUGGUUUUUGUUAGGAAGUUUGAAUCAGGCACCAAAAGCCUCAAGUGGUUAAAGCAGGCUGAUAGAGUGCUACUUGUUUUGUCCAUGCAUUCGCCAUCUUAGCCCUAUAUUUUUAUUGAAAUAAAUUCGGUCUUCCUCAACUAUAUUUGACCAUCGGCCGUAUAAGAGAACUCUACAGAUGAAUGGUCUUGGAUUAAGUUUGCACCAAACAAUUUUUCUUACAUCGACAUGUCCACUGGAAUUUAGGAAUAAAUUAACUUAUUAUGAUCUCAAAAUAUAUAGGAUUUGGUAGGUUUAAGUAAUGUUUAGAGUGUUAUUUCUUCCAAAGUUCCGAAUGAAAACCAACACAACUCUCUUUAAUACUAAACUGAUGCAGAUUUUCGCAGAAUGACAACUCCAAAAGUAGUUUUUGCUGGUGAAAUUAGACUGCUCAGAUCCAUAUAAACUCCAGAACAGAACAUUAUAUUUCCUGUGUGAGAUUCAAGUCCUAUAUAUUGCAAUUAGCACAUAACACAGACAAUGUUUGAAAAAAGUUUGUAGCUAAAAAUAUUUGUAAAUGAUGUAAUAAUCCACAGAUAAUAGAAGGUUUAAGAAGAUACUAAUUCGAGGUUCAUGAAUGGUCAAAUAUGUUUUUUUAAUAUAAAGAGUUGAUAGAAUAUAUCAUUAAAUUCAUUGAAUAUUCACAUAGCAGAAAAUAAGAGCUAUCAACAUCAAACAUAUCCCCAUUCCUAGUGGCAAAGAGAAGGUUGGAUUAGCAUAUGUUUCUUCACUGUAAUAAGAAUAUGGAACAAGCUAAUUGGACAAAGUAGAUCAAUUACUUCCUCAUACGUUACAAAGAGGGUGCUCUUGUUGAAGGAAAGGUUAGUGAAAGUUAUCACUUCUCUUAGGCCAUUUUUGUUUCAUAUGAAAAAAACUCAGAUUACAAACUCUAAUAUAGACAAAGACUGUUUCAUGAUGCUGAAGAGGCUUACUAUCAUUUAAUGAUAAGUUAUGCUUAGAUGGAAUGCAUGCUGACAAACUUGUUGAUGGAUUGAUGUGUAUUUCAAUCAUGUACAUGUGAAUUGUUAUACAUAAACAAUAAGAUUUAUGAUGAAUUAUGACAUGCAUCAACUGAAUUACCUGGACCAUUUGAGUUUCUGAUAGGAUUAGUUUUUUAAGAAAAUCAAUGCAGCUAGUCUUUCAUAUGUGCCUUAACACAUGCAAAGUGGUAAACUGUUUGCACUUGGUCAUACUGAGUUGCUGAAGCUCACAUGGACAAGUCAUGAUCUUCUUGCCCUCUGUCCUGCAAAAUGGGUGCAUCAGAUGCAGUUUAUGCAGAUGAGCACAUUAAUUUAUCGGCAUUCACGAUUGUCGAAGCGCUGGUUGGCACUCUCGGACAAGUGAUGGGAGCAUCAUAUUUAGCUGUAUGAAGAUCUAGGCCGUGAUUCCAUGGUCGCAGCCAUGGAAGCAUGAUUUAUCCUAAAUCAUUCUACCAAGAAAACCCAUUACAAAAUAGGGCAUUGACAAAAUUGGUCCCAUAGCUUCUUGAGGUCUGUGAAAUGAUAUAUAUGUAUAUAUAUAUAUAUAUAUUUCUUCAUUCAAUAAGACCAUUUAUUCUGCUAGAAAAAGAAAAACAAAACAAAACCAUUUCGUAGUACAACAUUGGUAUAGUUGGAUAAAUUUUUUUUGAGAUUUUCGAAAGUGUGAUGGAGAAAACCAUGGCACAUUACCAUGUCCGUGUAGAUACAUAGAGUUAAUUAUGCUCCAAAAGUUUGAGGUUUCAGCUUUUGUCUAUUGCAUUAAUCUUAUUUGCUGUAUUUCCUCACCUUUGAGAGGAAACAAACCUUAGUGGGGAUUAUUCCUUUUUGUGUCAAAUGCUUCUUGUAGUUCAUCUGUUAAAGAGAGCAGCACAGCAUUAGCAUAGUUGAGAAGUGGUCCCCUAUCUCUUUACAGAAACCCUAGGUUGUAUGUUGAUAUAUAUAUAUAUAAACCUACCUGACAGAUUUUUAUUUUUAUUAACCAUUAGGGUUUUCAAAAAUUCUCUUUUGUGGGGAAAUCCAUUUAAUUUUGUGAAUUUGUACUAAUAAAAAGACAAGCAUGCUUGAAAAUUGACACUUGAUUUUCACGAUGAGUAUAUAUUUAUGUAUGUAAAUCAAAAAGUUAUAUGAUGGUCCCAGGUUCUAGGGUUUGAGAAAAUUAUAUACCUAGUAUAUACAUCUGCAAAUCUCUAACCCAUUAUACUUUGACUAUUCUGUUGUUGGGAAAACUCCUCAUAAUUGGAUACACACGCACUAGUCCACAGAAUUUUUGUUGUUUAUGUACUUUAGUUAAUUUAAUUUGGCAAGUGGGAGAAGAGGCUCCUGAAGAGGAAAUUUGAUUGAUCUGUGUUAUAGGAUUUUGUUACGUGAUAAAGUAUAUGAUGAUAGGAAGCUCUAAAUUGUUUGCUUAUAAUAGAUAUUAGAUUUGACUCUUGGCCUUACUGUAUAUUAAUAUAAAAUAUCGGUGAGCUUAUCUCUUAUGAAAAAGCUCAAACGAUUUGAAAGGCAGUGAGGGUUUGAUUGGAUUGUCUUUUUUGGCCCCCUGCUCAUCUCUCAGCUUUAAUCUGGUUUUGAGAAAAAAAGAAGCCAGUGUUCUUAUCUAUAAUGAACCACAAAACAAUUUACUGGUAGAGAAGCUAUAUACAUGGAAUACAAACAUAUCCCUACUUUAAAUCAAUCAGUGUCUCAAACCAGACCAGAAAACCCUUGAACUAAUGUCUUCCUUGAAGUGCAUUAACAUAAAAAUACAAAAUUAUGCAGGCAUAGCAUAGCAACUCUUGGAUACAUCAGGAUCAUAAAGAAGCUAAAGAGAUCUCCAACCUUGCAGGGGGCUCAAAAAGAAUGAAAACUCAACCAAGCAAGAGUACAAUUAUUAUUCAUUUAGUUAAUUUUAUGACUAAUUUGAUAAUCAUAAAACUAUAUAUACCUAGAGGAAACUGAAAUUGAAACUGUUGAAUAUGACAAGAAUUAAUUUAGGGACAAAGUUCAGGGAUAUCCCAGUCAAGAACAAUCAGAGGAUACAUUUUUGAAUUCUUAUAUUAGACAGGAACUAAAGUACUACUACAGGCAGAAUUAGCUCGAAAGAGAAGAAGGGGGAACCAAAGAGUCUACACGAUCUGGACUUAGUGCUGAAUGCUAGAGGAAUGAAAACAUAUAUGAAUUAGCUAGCUAGCAUCGGUUUCUUUUGGGAUUAAUUUAACAUGUAUAUAUAUAUAUAUAUAUAUACACAUAUAUUAAUUAUCAUAGAAAAUAUUGGCAACUUCUCACGUCAAAGUUGCUAUUUCUAACUUUUCUUAUUAGAAACAUGAAAAGUGUUGGGAAAUGUUUGAUUUAACAACAAAGUUUGUUUAUCUAGUGCUUUAGCGAGUUUCUACAAGGAUUUUCAUUGGAGCUUAACAUAUUAUGGAUUAUGAGUUGAGGACUAAAUUGAUUAAGGAAUUGGAAGUUUAGAGAGCAUCACUCUCACUGAGCUUUCACUCAAAAUGUUGGCUACAACGAACGAAAGGGAGAAGUUCAUAAGGUGAGUUUUAUUUUAUUAGGUGGUAAGCACUGUGAUCUCUUUCAAAUCAUUUUGCUCAGAUAUUAAUCAAUUUCUUCAAAAUCAAGCCCAAGUUAGAGCUGUUUAAACUCAAAGAAGGAAACAUUGAUAAGAAUAUAGAGUAUAAACUAAAGCAUUUAGUUACAGUUUUAGGAGCGUUCCCUUACCUCAAGCAUAAUCAAUAAGGAAACCGAUCAAGAAGGAAUAGUGCAACCCAAUGGGUGGGCUGGAAAUAUACCUUAGCGUCUGAUCACAACCGAAUUUUCUACAACAGAAACGAAUCUUUUACAACUGUUUACUCUUUUCUCCUAUGGCCACUUCUCAUCUCUAUAUCAGCAUCAUCAGCUUCCAUACCAGUAUACAUACAUACAUACUUAUAUAUCUUGUUCUUCACUUGAAACUGUAGAAAACUACUGUUGAGGGGGUUGUGUAAGAGAAGAUUAUUACCAGCCUUCUCUUUAACUGAACUCUAUUGGAGCUGUAUUACUGUCAAUUUGCUGACUACUUGGUUGACCACUCCUGUUUGAUUCUUCAUCCUUGUCUUGAGCAUUAGCAGGUUUGUUUUGGUUAGCUUUCUGUCUUUCAGCUUCCCUGUAUUUAUGCAAAUACCUUAUUAUAGCCUCAGCAUACUCAUCAAACCCUAAAGCACUGAAAGCCCAACAGAUGUCAUCUCCAUUCACCGUCUUUCGAUUCUCCUUGUGACACUUGUCAGAUGCCUCAGCUGUCACAAAACUUAUAAACUCUGUUGCACAUUCUUGCAUUGUUUGUUUGGCUUCUUUGGAAAUCUUGGCACUUGGUGGAAGGACUUGCUUCAUUAGUCGACCUACAUUAGCAAUUGGCAGCAAUUUAUCUUCAUCAACCAUUUCUAGUGUCAGAAUCAAUUUUUCUUUUCUUGCAAACCUGCAACCUCCCUUUCUAUUAUAGAUGCGCGUCUACAUGUUCAUAUAUGCGCAUACAUGCAUGUGUAUGUUUUUGAUCAUGUAAACGCAACAUGUCAUGUGACAAGAUAUGAGUACCAUAUAUCCUGGUAUUAAUAUGAUUUUUGGUCAUCGAAUGGUGCGCUCAGUUUUAAAAGGAUAACCAUAAUUUUAUUUUAAAAAAUACUUUAUUUAGAUUAAACUGCGUGAUAAAAUUAAGAAGUCAAUUUUUAUUAUAUCGUGAUAUAUAAAAUAUAAAUGAAAUCUUGAAAUGCUAUCAGUUUCUUGUCUUAUUUAUAUUAGCAUCCUGUCCAUGAUUUUUCGAAUAAAACUUUUAUAAAUAUAGAAAUUAUUGACUUAGAAUAUUACUUCAAUCUAGUCAACCAUAGGCUUUAUAUACAUACAUAUAUGUAUAUAGAAUGUAGAAAUGAAAUUGCUUGUAGUAUUUAAACUAAGAAUUAUCAUAGUAUUGCUUUUGUUAACAAUUUCUAGAUGAAAUAGUGUCAGUUAUAUCACACAUCCCUGGCCAAAGUUUUGAGUAACUCUAGCAAAUCAACUUUCAAGUUAAAGUGAAAAAAGGCCUAAAUUUCUUCAUAAAAUAUGAUCUGAUGAGAUUUGCAAGUUGUCAAGCAAAUUUUAUAUAUAUAUAUAUAUAUUAAAGAAUGUGUUAUAAUAAUAUUUUAAAACGUCUAGUUUGUAUAUGGUCCCCCCAUUUCCCACUAAUGCAGUACUCUGUAAUAUUCUAUAAAAUCUUAACUUUUCUUUCCCCUUGCAAUGGAUUAAUUUUAAGUAUAUUAUAUAUAUGCAUAUAUAUUCUUUGUGCUGAUCAAAAGAGUGGGAGAUAUUUUUGCACGUUUUCUUGGUUAUUAACAAGAACAUUACAUAACCAAAGCUACCUAGAAAAGAAGUGCUGAUUAGAUGUGUGAAUGUGUGUAUAUAUUACAAUAGUGUUUGAUUACCUCAUACUUAGGUUGUUUGUAGGUUUGUUACUCGAUUUGGCUACAAAAGCAUUUCCUUUAUGAACUUAAAUUGUAUAGGUUAAUUAGGUCUUAGCCGCCCUUUUAGUCUUAACCUUAUAUUAAUGAAGAAGCUUAAAUGAUCUGGGCUAGCUAGUUUAUUAAGUAUCUAUUUGAUGUAUAUGACAUGUGGGUAGUAGUUGUUUGCUUUUUGAAGGCUAAAUUCCUACAGAUACUCACAUAAUAAUAUGCUGCAAACUACUUCUUUGCAACAUAUGUUACUUCAUAUCUACUUUUGUUAUAGAUAAUAAGCAACUAAACUGCAAAGAUUGAGCUGUAAUUGAAAAACACAAGAUUUGAGUUGCAAUAAACUCAAAUUAUGGAAAGUGGUUGUGCUAGCUCCAAUAUGCAUAUAUAUAUAUAUAUAUAUCUUUCAACUCUUUUAUUGAGAAGUACAUCAUAUAUGUUUCAGCUCCUGUUCUUCUCUCAUAUAUUUUUUUUUCUAUGAACAUAAUAUUGUGGCCUGGCCUACUUUGGAUGAAAAUGAACCUUUUUAGGUCAAGUAACCUAAUCAUGAUCAGACCGUUAGGCCAAUAAUCAAGGAUUAUGGUGGAAAUUGAAAAUUAGUUUUGCAAGAAUAAUUUGUGGUUGGAAUGUGACUGCUAAAGUCAAUUUGAUUUAGUUAAUCAAAUUCUUAAUGGCUCUACUAAUCCUGAAAAGUUUUGGUACAAGCUCUGAAUGGUCUUUUUUUUUUUUUUUUCUCUCUAUUUGAGUGAUCAAAUCUUAUUCUAGUACAGAGAAGAUAGUUAACAAUAUUUGGAUUUAAAAGAAGAAAUAUAUGAUUUCUUUUACUUAUGACUAGCUUGGCCUGUUGUAUUAUUAGAUGGGGAGAUUAACCUAACUAAUUUAGGACAGGUCUGAACCUUUCCACAGAAUUCAUAUGGAUACAUACAUUAUCUGCUCAGCUUUGAUUACUUUCAGGAGGAUCAUUUUUGUAUGUACUUAAAAUUCAGAUGCCAUAUAUUAUAUCCAUUUAAACAUUAAUUUGGUGCAAAAUCAUUUUUGAUUUCUCAGGUACAACAUGCUAUCUUGAUUUUCUGAUUUAGAAAUUUAAUUUUUAAUUACCUGUAAGAUAAGAAUUGAAUUCUUUUCAUUAAAAAAUUCAGUGGUAGUAACUCAAAUACAGUGCUAUGAAAAUGAAGCAGGUUAUUCUCUUUUCCUUGAGAUGCGGCAUCAAAGUCAUCCAUAACUCUCCUUUUAAGUUUUGUUUUGCUAUUCAUCUCUUCGGAAAGAAGUUUUGCGUUACUAAUCAAGUUCAGGUCAAGAGGUAAAUAAAACUAUACAGAAUUUGUUUCUUAAUCUUAUCCAAGUUGGUAUAGGACAAAUUACAGUUAUAUAUCUUGUAAUUUCUGUUUCAUGCUCAGUACAUCUGUGCCUGCAUAUAUUGUUUAGACAAUAUGAUAUAGUUUUAUGCGAUUAUAUACUAUGAUAUAAUCUUUUUACAAAUAGAACUAAGAUGGUACUCCAACUCUGCUAAGAGAAUGCUAUGUCAUUUGGCCUUGCAUGCUGUUUGUAUACAGUGUUUCCUUCUUGAAUUUAGUUAGUUGAUUUCUAUUCUAUGGAGCAUACUAGUUGAUCAAAUUAUGCUCUCUAGACUGUAAAGCAAUGGCCAUUAUUAAUUAAACCCACGAAACUAAUAUUAAUUGUAAAAGCAGCUUUGAGCUUUUACAUGUCCUAAAAC
rnacentral:lncRNA from 1 species